ACUAAUUGCUUUACAUAUUUUGGGGCUCCCUGAUUGGGAGCAUAGAUAUUAAUAAGUGUUAAGCUAAGCAGGGUCAGGCCUGGUUAGUACUUGGAUGGGAGACCACAUAGGAGGACCAGGUGCUAUAGGCA
ensembl:rRNA 5S_rRNA 5S ribosomal RNA